rnacentral:misc_RNA from 1 species
GAAAUGCGAUAAGUAGUGUGAAUUGCAGAAUUCAGUGAAUCAUCGAAUCUUUGAACGCACAUUGCGCCCCUCGGUAUUCCGUGGGGCAUGCCUGUUCGAGCGUCAUCUACACCCUCAAGCUCUGCUUGGUGUUGGGCGUCUGUCCCGCCUCCGCGCGCGGACUCGCCCCAAAUGCAUUGGCAGCGGUUCCUUGCCCCCCUCUUUGCGCAGCACAUUGCCAUUCGAGGCGGCAGCGGCCCGCGUCCAACAAGCUCAACCCCCCCGUCUUUGACCUCGGAUCAGGUAGGGAUACCCGCUGAACUUAAGC